rnacentral:misc_RNA from 1 species
GAUCAUUACCGAGUGAGGGCCCUCUGGGUCCAACCUCCCACCCGUGUCUAUCGUACCUUGUUGCUUCGGCGGGCCCGCCGUUUCGACGGCCGCCGGGGAGGCCUUGCGCCCCCGGGCCCGCGCCCGCCGAAGACCCCAACAUGAACGCUGUUCUGAAAGUAUGCAGUCUGAGUUGAUUAUCGUAAUCAGUUAAAACUUUCAACAACGGAUCUCUUGGUUCCGGCAUCGAUGAAGAACGCAGCGAAAUGCGAUAAGUAAUGUGAAUUGCAGAAUUCAGUGAAUCAUCGAGUCUUUGAACGCACAUUGCGCCCCCUGGUAUUCCGGGGGGCAUGCCUGUCCGAGCGUCAUUGCUGCCCUCAAGCACGGCUUGUGUGUUGGGCCCCCGUCCCCCUCUCCCGGGGGACGGGCCCGAAAGGCAGCGGCGGCACCGCGUCCGGUCCUCGAGCGUAUGGGGCUUUGUCACCUGCUCUGUAGGCCCGGCCGGCGCCAGCCGACACCCAACUUUAUUUUUCUAAGGUUGACCUCGGAUCAGGUAGG